UGAACUGGAACACCUGGCAAUACUAGCAAUACAGUGGUACCACGGGUUAAGAAUUUAAUUCAUUCUGGAGGUCCAUUCUAAACCUGAAACUGUUCUUAACCUGGAGUACUACUUUAGCUAAUGGGACCACCCGCUACUGCUGCGCUGCUGCCGUGCUUUUUCUGUUCUCAUCCUGAAGCAAAGUUCUUAACCUGAGGUACUAUUUCUGGUUUAGUGGAGUCUGUAACCUGAAGCGUCUGUAACCCUAGGUACCACUGUAUAUAAACAGAUAGCUUACAGAUGCAGACUUUCUUUGGAUAAAUAAAGGGAUAUUUGGAAUGAAUUUAUACAGAAUAUAACAGGUUAUUGAAAAGUAUAUGUGUAUUAGGAUAACAAGAAUAUACAUAUUUGUAUAUUAAUGUUUGGUAGUGUAACAGUAAUGUUUCUUUUUUCAUUCUGCCUCACUUUCCCCCCCUUUUUUUCACUCUAUCUUUUUAUAAAUGAAAUAAUCAUAAUAUUUUUAUUUUUUUUAGUGUGUCUAAAGCUGCAGCCCAAGAAUCACAAUACAAUCAUCAACACCAGCAACAAGC